UUUUACUCUUUAUAUAACACAAAAUACACUAACAGAUUUAAAAUUCAUUCAAAUAAGGUACAGCCUAUUUGAAACAGGAUACAACCUCUCACAGAGGGUAAUGCUUAUCAUAAGCGUGAUUAAGUGGGCCUAAAAGCAGCCACCUUUUAAAAAGCGUUAAAGCCUAAUCACACUAAAUUAUAAAUACCCAUCUAAGCCCAAAACCCCUUAACCCCUACUGAAUGACUUCAUACCUUUAUGAAAAUCCUUAUGUUAGAACCAGUAACAAGAAUAAUUAUUCUCCUACAAAUGUAAGUGUAAGCCGAAAUGGAACCCCCAUCGACACUCACCGCCAAUGAGCCAAUAGUAAUAACCCCCCCCCCAAGAAAAUCUUACUCCUCCCAGCGUUAACCUUACACAAGAACAUUUCUGGAAAGAUUAAAAAAAGAGGAAG
rnacentral:rRNA from 1 species